UACGGGGGGGGGCAAGCGUUGUUCGGAAUUACGUGGGCGUAAAGGGCUCGUAGGCGGCCAACUAAGUCAGACGUGAAAUCCCUCGGACUUAACCGGGGAACUGCGUCUGAUACUGGAUGGCUUGAGAUUGGGAGAGGGAUGCGGAAUUCCGAGGUGUAGCGGUGAAAUGCGUAGAUAUCUGGAGGAAUACCGGUGGCGAAGGCGGCAUCCUGGACCGGCAUUGACGCUGAGGAGCGAAAGCCAGGGGAGCAAAGCAGGG
rnacentral:rRNA from 1 species